GGAAAACUAGAUCACAGAGCCCUGGGGAAGGGCUGUGCUUGGCACAGAAAAGAAGUGAUCCUGUCAGCAGGCAGGAGAGAGGGACAUGGGUUCAGCACCCAGCAGCUCAGACGACAGCUCCUGAACAGAGCGAGGGGGCCAAGAGCACGCCUCACAUCAAGGGCACCUGGAUGCGAGAGGUGCAAGGAGAAGAAACGAGACUCAGGUUAAGUGACUUGCCCACGGUCACCCAGCUGUCGACUCCAGAUUUAAUCUGGAAAGCCACAGAAAAUCACCGCAGGCAGGUUUGCAGCCUGGGGCAGGACAGAGAGAAAGCAGCCUCGGGUGGGCAGAGGUAAGUAGCUUGUGCUGCAGAAGGCCGGGGAGGGGGGUGGGUUGGAGAGUCUAUGUGGG
rnacentral:lncRNA from 1 species